CCUCCCCUCCAACCCUAGCCGCCCCGCUCCCCUCCCUCUCCACGGCGCCGCCGCCUCCUCCCCUUCUGCCCUGCUAUCCACCGUGCCGCCUCUUCCUCCUCUUCACUGCCCUCUCCAGCGGCGGCAAAGAACGGCGGCGCUCGAUCCGAUCUGCUGAAGAGAAAAGAUGAGAGAGGGAGAGAGACAAGGAAGGAGAGGAGGGAGAAAGAUCUCCCUCAUCGUCCUCGUCGCCAUCUGCCACUCCUCUGCCGUGCCCAGACCGCGGGAAGAAGCCGAGAAGGGAGGCCGGCCGGCGGCGGCCACGCUCGACAAGAUCCUCGCAUUAGCCUCAAGGGAGAGGAGGUCUACGUCCCCCGUCCGUGUGAAGGGCGCGAACCAGGGCAGUGGAGGCGCAGGGCGCGAACGAGAGGAGAAGGUUGAGCAUCCCGCCGACGACAUCGUUUCGAGCUCAAGAUGGUCUACAGAUACAUGCAACAAUUGAGGUUUCAUGUGCAAGGAAGCAAAGAAGAUGCGAGACCGUUUUUCUUUUGGAAUAGAAGAAUCAAAGGAUACACCGACCGAUUAAAGGUUAGAAGACAUGCCAAAUAAUGGAUACUUCUCAAUCAAAUGAACAAACAUGCUAUCCGCCGAGCUUCAAGACUGAAGGGAUAGAUAACCACAACUUCUAAUGACCUAUACCAGCGAUUGAUUGUAGCAUACUGGAUUCCUAAUGCUGACAGGAAUAGCCGCCAUGGCGAUAUUUACAGGCUGUGCACUGAGAUCGAAUAGUCUACAUCAUGCCUCUGGUCGGAACAAAUGGCCAAUGAUGUGUGCAAGGACGGAAAGAGGCAGUCGAUCAACGCUGAAGACGUCUUCAAGGCGCUCGAUGAGAUCGAGUUCCCAGAGUUUGUAGAUCCCCUGAGGACUGCACUGUUAGGAGGUUUGGUAGGUUUGAGCAUCUGACUUGUAAUCUAGGUUGAUGGUGUUUGGCAUUAUUGGUUCAAUCCACGUGGAGGUCCUCGCCGUCAUUGCAGCUGCGGGACAAGACGGCAAGGAGUUUGUGCGCCUGCUUUACCUCUGUACAAAAUAAACUGCAGAUACAAAAAAUGAAAAAGCAGAGCACUGUUAUUUCUCCAUACUCUGCAUCCCCAUCUGAGUCACUCUCUCUAGAAGCAGGAAUGAUUAUACUUCAACCGACCAUGCUCAGCCUAGAAUAACACCACAACAUACAGUAGUAGUUAAGCAACAAAACCUAAGCACUUCCCGUCAUUGUUUGCUUUCUCAUGUUUUUGUUUGCUUCAUUGUGUUCCUAUUUACUUGCAUAUAGAAGUGAGCAAAGUCGAAGUGUUUUGGGUGUUACAAAAGAUUGUGAAUAUUUUGCCUUUAUAGCUCUUUUUUUUAUUGACUCAGUUUUUAUGUAAUUUCAAAGCACUUCAGAUGUGUUAGGCUGCAGCAAGAGGCUGGAACAGAUCUUUGUGCUAUGACGAGUGUUUGCUUCAGUCAAUCCAAAAUACCUCUAAAACUACAGUUUCAUUUGUUUGUCCGGUGUACAUGAGAAGCUCCAAUUUUGUCGGCAAUAGCCACUGGAGAAAGUAGUGAUUGGGUUUAUAUGGGAUAGUUAUGUAUGUCCAUUGUGUGAUGGGAAAUACAAUGCAGUAGUUAAUUGUCACAUGGCUUCUCAAUAGUGGCUUCUCA